CUAUGAAUACUAGUUGUCGGAGUUCCUAAUUGCUUCGGUGACGCAGUUAACACAUUAAGUAUUCCGCCUGGGAAUUACGGUCGCAAGAUUAAAACUCAAAGGAAUUGACGGGGGCCCGCACAAGCGGUGGAGCAUGUGGUUCAAUUCGAUGCUACGCGAAAAACCUUACCUAGGUUUGACAUCCCACGCUACUCGGUGAAAGCCGGGGUUCCCUUCGGGGACGUGGAGACAGGUGCUGCAUGGCUGUCGUCAGCUCGUGUUGUGAGAUGUUGGGUUAAGUCCCGCAACGAGCGCAACCCUCGCGGUUAGUUGCCAGCAUUAAGUUGGGCACUCUAAUCGGACCGCUGGCCUAUAAGGCAGAGGAAGGUGGGGAUGACGUCAAGUCCUCAUGGCCUUUAUAUCUAGGGCAACACACGUGCUACAAUGGGAAGUACAGAGCGCAGCUAACUCGCAAGAGCAGGCUAAUCGCAAAAAACUUUCCUCAGUUCGGAUUGGAGUCUGCAACUCGACUCCAUGAAGCUGGAAUCGCUAGUAAUCGGGGAUCAGCACGCCCCGGUGAAUACGUUCCCGGGCCUUGUACACACCGCCCGUCACACCAUGGAAGUUAGAAGAACCUGAAAACGCCGCUGCAACCCGCAAGGGGGCUAAGCGUUUAUGGUUUAGCUGAUGACUGGGGUGAAGUCGUAACAAGGUAGCCGUA
rnacentral:rRNA from 1 species